rnacentral:rRNA from 1 species
AUUGAACGCUGGCGGCAUGCCUUACACAUGCAAGUCGAACGGUAACGGGCCUUCGGGUGCCGACGAGUGGCGCACGGGUGAGUAAUACAUCGGCACGUGCCCGAUCGUGGGGGAUAACGAGGCGAAAGCUUUGCUAAUACCUCAUACGAUCUACGGAUGAAAGCAGGGGACCGCAAGGCCUUGCGCGGACGGAGCGGCCGAUGGCAGAUUAGGUAGUUGGUGGGAUAAAAGCUUACCAAGCCGACGAUCUGUAGCUGGUCUGAGAGGAUGAUCAGCCACACUGGGACUGAGACACGGCCCAGACUCCUACGGGAGGCAGCAGUGGGGAAUUUUGGACAAUGGGCGCAAGCCUGAUCCAGCCAUGCCGCGUGCAGGAUGAAGGCCUUCGGGUUGUAAACUGCUUUUGUACGGAACGAAAAGCCUUCUUUUAAUACAGGAGGGUCAUGACGGUACCGUAAGAAUAAGCACCGGCUAACUACGUG